GGGGGCGGUGGGCGGAUGCCUACCCGAGAGACCAGGGGAGCUAAGUGAUUGAUGGAGCUUCCGGAAGUCUUGGCGGCUGUACCAGCGCUAAUGUUCCUCCUUUUCCUGAGGUAUUCUAAUCACAGAAUUACUGGAGCAUCAAGAAGUGCCUGCAUGCUUGGAAGGGCUUCCAGGCAGAUGAACACACCUCAGCACCGGGUGGCAUUUUCCCAGGGUGCAACCCGGACCGGCUCUGGGUCACACUGACAAGGACAACAGGGUUAACAAUUUCCAGAGACAGCCCGUACAUAGAAGGAAUGUUUACUGAAAAAAAUGAAGAGGGGUCAGGGCAAGGCGAGGAGCAAGAAGCACCCCCAAGGAAACAGAGAAGACCAGUACAACUGUACCUCUUUGCCAGCUGCACCAUCCGUACCAGGUGGCACGUUCCAGAGCCAUAGCCUCUGUUCUAUUCAUCUCCAGUCUCCUGGGGUGGAAGUGUCCAGCACAGAGACUGCCACACUGCAAGACGAAGGGGCUGGACACACGGAAGAGAGAGGCGGAACCCUGCACCCCCUCAACCUCAGCCCUACUGAGUCUCC
rnacentral:lncRNA from 1 species